GCCGGGGGCUGGCGGGGACCCGCGGCGGCGCAGCUCUCGGCCCAGCCGCGACCCGCCCGCCGCCCCACCCUCGGGGGGGCAGACAGCGAUACAGGGUGCUCGGCUCCGGGAUGGGAUGGGGGCGGCUAGCUUCCUGGAGCCCAGCUCCGGCCGCGGCCUAGGGGCGCCCGGUUACGCACACGCUCCGUCGUCGCGGGCUCCCGCAGGCCGGCUCCCACCCCCGAGCUUCUGCCCGGGACCCCGACCUGCAGCCGGUGCUCGGAUCCGGGACCCACGGCCGCCCCGCCCCCGAGGAGGCCCCCGUUCGCUCCUCGCCCAGCCCCGCAGUUUGUGAAGUUUCUUUUGACGUAUCUUCAAGUUCACCUGACUCAGUGUCAAGUCUGUUGAUGAGCCCAUCAAAGGAAAAAGCAACUAGGAUCUCUCAACAGCAGUAACUCCUAAAAGAUCCCCCACAGUCAACUCAGAGUCUGCAAGUUACCCACAGUCAACAGUCCAGAGGCAGAUGAUCCUGCUUUCGACAUAUCCUCAGGUCGUUAGGCUAACAAUAGUAGCCUAACACUUACACCAUGAUCUCUAUGUCGUUCACCUUACUUCAUCUCAUCAUCUAGGCAUUUUAUUACCUCGCAUCAUUACAAGAAGGGGAAAGGAGGAAAUAACCUACACAACUGCAAAGGAAGAGCAGCCUAGCACCUAUACUAAUCAUGUAUGUGUCCUUCAUGUAUGAGGAAACAAACACAAAUAAACAGACAUGUAAAGAAAAUCUAAUUAGAGAAUUUUAAAUGAGCACUAAUCAGCAAUCCUUGUUAUGUAUUAGUUACCCGUAGAGGUUUUUUUCUUUUAAAUACAAUGUCCUAGACUUCAAGCUGUAUUACAAUGCCAUAAUCAUCAGGACAAUAUAGUACUGGCAUAGAAACAGACACAGAGAUCAAUGAAACAGAACAGAGAACCCAAAAAUGGACUCUCAACUGUAUGGCCAACUAAUAUUCAACAAAGCAACAAAGAAUAUCCAAUGGAAAAAAGACAGUCUCUUCAACAAAUGGUGUUGGGAAAACUGGACAGCCACAUGCAGAAGAAUGAAACUGAACCAUUUCCUUACACCAUAAACAAAAACAGAGUCAAAAUGGAUGAAAGACCUCAGUAUGAGACAGGAAUCCAUCGAAAUCCCAGAGGAGAACACAGGCAGUAACCCUUGCAUCCUAAGCUGCAGCCAUUUCCUGCUAGACACAUCUCUAAAGGCAAAAGCAAAAAUGAACUACUCAGACUUCAUCAGGAUUAAAAGGUUCUAAACAGCAAAGUAAACAGUCAACGAAACAAAAGGCAACCUACGGAAUGGGAGAAGACAUUCACAAACAACAUAUCAGAUAAAGGGCUAAUAUCCAAGAUCUAUAAAGAACUCAUCACACUCAAAACCCAAAAAACCCACAAAAAAUACAGUCCAGAAAUGGGCAAAGACAUGAACAAUGAACAGACUUUUCUCCAGACAGUGGCCAUACAAAUGGCCAACAGACACAUGAAAAAAUGUUCCACAUCACUUGGCAUCAGGGAAAUACAAAAUCAAAGCCACAGUGAGAUACCACCUCAGACCAGUCGGAAUGGCUAAAAUUAACAAGUCAGGAAACAACAGAUGUUAGUGAGGAUGUGGAGAAAAGUACCCUCUUACACUAUUGGUGGGAAUGUAAAUUGAUGCAGCCACUCUGGAAAAAGGUAUGGAGAUUCCUCAAAAAGUUAAAAAUACAAUUACCCUACAGCAACUGUACUACUAGAUAUUUAUCCAAGGGACACAAACGUAAUUAUCUGAAGGGGCACAUGCACCCCAAGGUUUAUAGCAGCAACGUCAACAACAGCCAAAAUAUGGAAAGAGCCCAAGAAGAUAUGAAUAGACAUUUUUGCAAAGAAGACAUCCAAAUGGCCAACAGACACAUGAAAAAGUGCCCAACAUCAGGGAAAUACAAAUCAAAACCACAAUGAGAUACCACCUCACCCUGGCCAGAAUGGCUAAAAUUAAGAAGUCAGGAAACAACACAGGUUGGCAAGGAUGAAGAGAAAGGGGAACCCUCUUACACUGUUGGUGGGAAUGCAAGCUGGGGCAGCCGGUCUGGAAAACAGUAUGAAGGUUCCUCAAAAAGUUGAAAAUAGACCUACCCUACAACCCAGCAAUUGCACUAUACUAGGUUUUUACCCUAAAGCUACAAAUUCAGUGAUCCAAAGGGGCACCUGCACCCCAAUGUUUAUAGCAGCAGUGUCCACAACAGCCAAACUAUGGAAAGAGUCCAGAUGUCCAUCGACAGAUUAAGGAGUAAAGAAGAUGUGGUAUAUAUACAAUGCAAUAUUACUCAACCAUCAAAAAGAAUGAAAUCUUGGGGCUCCUGGGUGGCUCAGAGGGUUAAAGCCUCUGCCUUCGGCUCCGGUCAUGAUCCCAGGGUCCUGGGAUCGAGCCCCAUAUCGGGAAUCUCUGCUCAGUGGGGAGCCUGCUUCCUCCUCUCUCUCUCUCUGCCUUCCUCUCCGCCUACUUGUGAUCUCUCUCUCUCUCUCUGUCAAAUAAAUAAAUAAAAUCUUAAAAAAAAAAAAUCUUUAAAAAAAAAAAAAGAAUGAAA